rnacentral:tRNA from 1 species
GGAUGUGGCUCAGUGGUAAAGUGCUUACCUAGUGUGUGUGAGGCCCUGAGUUCAAUCGUCAGCACUGCCA